AUUGAACGCUGGCGGCGUGCUUAACACAUGCAAGUCGAUCGGUAACAGGUGUAGCAAUACAUGCUGACGAGAGGCGGACGGGUGAGUAAUGCUUGGGAAUCUGCCUAUUAGUGGGGGACAACCCGGGGAAACUCGGGCUAAUACCGCAUACGCUCUACGGAGGAAAGCCGGGGACCGCAAGGCCUGGCGCUAAUAGAUGAGCCCAAGUCGGAUUAGCUAGUUGGUAGGGUAACGGCCUACCAAGGCGACAAUCCGUAGCUGGUCUGAGAGGACGACCAGCCACACCGGAACUGAGACACGGUCCGGACUCCUACGGGAGGCAGCAGUGGGGAAUUUUGGACAAUGGGGGCAACCCUGAUCCAGCCAUUCCGCGUGAGUGAAGAAGGCC
rnacentral:rRNA from 1 species